rnacentral:ncRNA from 1 species
ACCAUCUGUGGGAUUAUGACUGAACGCCUCUAAGUCAGAAUCCCGCCUAGACGUAACGAUACCGUAGCGCCGCAUCGCUUCGGUCGGUCUCCGAUACCCGACUCCGGUCGGCGAGGAGAGCCUUCCGCGACUGGGCCGGGGUGUGGCCGGACGAUGGUCACCCCUCUCCGAUCGCGCACAGCAUGUUCGUGGAGAACGUGGUGCUAAAUGACUUGCAGACGACCUGAUUCUGGGUCAGGGUUUCGUACGUGGCAGAGCAGCUCCCCUCGCUGCGAUCCAUUGAGAGUCAGCCCUCGAUCCAACCUUUUGU